rnacentral:ncRNA from 2 species
CUGUUCUCAACGGGGUGCUUCUUCGGAGGCUGAGAGAAACUCGUAGAACCUGAUCUGAUUAAUUACAGCGUAGGGAUUUGAGAAAGGUUAAAUA